rnacentral:rRNA from 1 species
AGUCGAACGGCACGGACUUCGGUCUGGUGGCGAGUGGCGAACGGGUGAGUAAUGUAUCGGAACGUGCCUAGUAGCGGGGGAUAACUACGCGAAAGCGUAGCUAAUACCGCACACAGCCCUUCGGGGGAAAGCGGGGGACCUUCGGGCCUCGCACUAUUAGAGCGGCCGAUAUCGGAUUAGCUAGUUGGUGGGUAACGGCUCACCAAGGCGACGAUCCGUAGCUGGUUUGAGAGGACGACCAGCCACACUGGGACUGAGACACGGCCCAGACUCCUACGGGAGGCAGCAGUGGGGAAUUUUGGACAAUGGGGGAAACCCUGAUCCAGCCAUCCCGCGUGUGCGAUGAAGGCCUUCGGGUUGUAAAGCACUUUUGGCAGGAAAGAAACGGCACGGGAUAAUACUCCGUGCAACUGACGGUACCUACAGAAUAAGCACCGGCUAACUACGUGCCAGCAGCCGCGGUAAUACGGUGUGCGUUAAUCGGAAUUACUGGGCGAAGCGUGCGCAGGCGGUUCGGAAAGAAAGAUGUGAAAUCCCAGAGCUUAACUUUGAACUGCAUUUUUAACUACCGAGCUAGAGGCAAGCGAGGAGGUGGAAUUCCGCGUAGCAGUGAAAUGCGAUAUGUGAGGAACACCGAUGGCGAAGGCGGCAGCCUCUGGGAUAACACUGACGCUCAUGCACGAAAGCGUGGGGAGCAAACAGGAUUAGAUACCCUGGUAGUCCACGCCCUAAACGAUGUCAACUAGCUGUUGGGGCCUUCGGGUCGCAGAAGUAGCUAACGCGUGAAGUUGACCGCCUGGGAGUACGGUCGCAAGAUUAAACUCAAAGGAAUUGACGGGGACUCGCACAAGCGGUGGAUGAUGUGGAUUAAUUCGAUGCAACGCGAAAAACCUUACCUACCCUUGACAUGUCUGGAAUCCUGAAGAGAUUUGGGAGUGCUCAAAAGAGAACCGGAACACAGGUGUUGCAUGGCUGUCGUCAGCUCGUGUCGUGAGAUGUUGCUGUCCUGCAACGAGCGCAACCCUUGUCAUUAGUUGCUAUGAAAGGGCACUCUAACGAGACUGCCGCGAUAAACCGGAGGAAGGUGGGGAUGACGUCAAGUCCUCAUGGCCCUGCGGCAGGGCUUCACACGGUCAUAAUGGUCGGGACAGAGGUCGCCAACCCGCGAGGGGGAUGCCAACUUGUGAAACCCGAUCGUGAACUGGAUCGCAGUCUGCAACUCGACUGCGUGAAGUCGGAAUCGCUAGUAAUCGCGGAUCAGCAUGUCGCGGUGAAUACGUUCCCGGGUCUUGUACACACCGCCCGUCACACCAUGGGAGUGGGUUUUACCAGAAGUAUAGCCUUAACCGUAAGGAGGGCGAUUACCACGGUAGGAUUCAUGACUGGGGUGAAGUCGUAACAAGGUAA